rnacentral:rRNA from 1 species
UAUCUCUGUAGAGUCUGCAUAUCAAUAAGCGGAGGAAAAGAAACUAACUAGGACUUCCCUCAGUAACGGCGAGUGAAGCGGGAAGAGCUCAAAUUUGAAAUCUUCAAGGUUCUACCUUGACGAAUUGUAGUUUAAAGAAGUGUUUUCUGUUGGAGUUUUGGUAAAAGUUCUUUGGAAUAGGACAUCAUAGAGGGUGAGAAUCCCGUAUUUGACCAUUAUUUCCAGCUUUGUGAUACACUUUCAAAGAGUCGGAUUGUUUGGGAAUGCAGUCCAAAAUGGGUGGUAAAUUUCAUCUAAAGCUAAAUAUUGGCGAGAGACCGAUAGCGAACAAGUACCGUGAGGGAAAGAUGAAAAGAACUUUGAAAAGAGAGUUAAACAGUACGUGAAAUUGUCAAAAGGGAAGCGUUUGACACCAGUGUUGUUUCUACGAAAAUCAAUUUAUGAUGGCUUGAUGCUAAGCUUUAAGACUUUAUCCGCUUGUUGUUUAGUUUUCUUGUCUUUGUGAAUGCACUUUUCGUGGAACAAGUCAACAUCAAUUUCUUUUGCUGUAAAAGGGUAAGAGGAAGGUGGCUUCGGCUUCGGUUGAAGUGUUUAUAGCCUUUUAUCUCUGCAGUCGGAGAGAUUGAGGUCUGCAGCGUAGACUCUUCGGGGUUAGAUACGUCGGUGCUAAGCUAUAGCUUUUCAUAGACAACUUGUUGACUAUGUUUAGUCAUGUGGCUUACCCGCUGGCGCUAUUUUACCUACGCUUAGGAUGUUGAGUCAUCACACAUCUCU